rnacentral:rRNA from 1 species
GGCUGCAGACGAUCGCUAGGCAGUCACGCCUUGAGCUCAUUCAGUCGGAGCAGCUGUAGCAAUGCGCAGUGCAGCAUGGGUGAGCUAGCGCCGUGGGCACAUGCUAUUUCGCUCUGAGAAGCUGGAGAGAAACGUGAGCUAAUAACGAGAUAAGCACGAGAGGGGAAAGAUUUAUGGCCUCAGGAUUGAUUCGCGUCCGAUUACCGAAUCGGCGAGGUAACGGCUCGACACGUCGCAGAUCUGUAACCGCUCCGAGAGGAUGAUCAGCCACACCGGGAGUGAGACUCGUCCCAGAGUCCUCCGUGAGGCAUCAUUGGCGAAUAUUGAACAAUGGGCGCAAGCCUGAUCCAUGCAUGCCGCAUGCGUGAUGAAGGCCAUACGGUUGUAAAGCUCAUUAGCCAGGGAAGAUAAUGGCUGUACCUCGAUAAGAAGCUCCGGCUAACUUCGUGCCAGCAGCCGCGGUAAUACGAAGGGGGCUAGCGUUGUUCGGAAUCACUGGGCGUAAAGCGCACGUAGGCGGAUCUUUAAGUCAGAGGUGAAAUCCCAAGGCUCAACCUGGGAACUGCCUUUGAUACUGGGGAUCUUGAGUCCGGGAGAGGUGAGUGGAACUUCGAGUGUAGAGGUGAAAUUCGUAGAUAUUGGCAAGAACACCAGUGGCGAAGGCGGCUCACUGGCCCUGAUCUGACGCUGAGGUGCGAAAGCCUGGGGAGCAAACAGGAUUAGAUACCCCGGUAGUCCACGCCGUAAACGAUGAACGCCAGCCGUUAGGCAGCCUGCUGCUUAGUGGCGCAGCUAACGCUUUAAGCAUUCCGCCUGGGGAGUACGGUCGCAAGAUUAAAACUUAAAUGAAUUGACGG